rfam:Rattus norvegicus chromosome 14, whole genome shotgun sequence.
CUUAUAUAAAUCUUCACAUUACUGAAUACAUGUGUAAACAUUACUCUAUCAUGGAAAAACAUCCUUUGAUUUCACUC